AUACGGAGGGUGCAAGCGUUAAUCGGAAUUACUGGGCGUAAAGCGCGCGUAGGCGGUUUGGUCAGUCGGAUGUGAAAGCCCUGGGCUCAACCUGGGAACUGCAUUCGAUACUGCCUGACUAGAGUAUGGUAGAGGAAAGCGGAAUUCCCGGUGUAGCGGUGAAAUGCGUAGAUAUCGGGAGGAACAUCAGUGGCGAAGGCGGCUUUCUGGACCAAUACUGACGCUGAGGUGCGAAAGCGUGGGGAGCAAACGGGAUUAGAAACCCCUGUAGUCC
rnacentral:rRNA from 1 species